rnacentral:lncRNA from 1 species
GCUUGGGAUUGAUUCUGGAUCGUCGGAUCAUGCAAAAGAGUUCUCUUAUAAACUGGCAAUGAACAGCUGCCGUUGGAUCUAAGUCGGAUUAAAUCUUAGCCAUUGGAUCGUGCCCAGGAUCUUUCUCUCACUAUGAACCGUACCUAUGGACCGCAUAACUAUUCCCGUGGGCCACGCCUUGGGUCUGUGGAUCGAGCGACC